rnacentral:lncRNA from 1 species
GAAGCAUUCAAUACUUAUAAUUACAUUUUUUUUAGCAAUGAUAAUGAAAACACGAAUUUUAUUAUUGUUUUAUUUAAUUCACCUGUGCACUUUAUUGUGGGACCACGUGUUAUCAUGAAUGAAAAGUUUUAUUAAGCAAUGCAAUUGCCUACGGAAUAACACGUGAGGUGCAGUUAAGCAAUCAGAAUAAAGUAUCAUAAUGAAACAGACAUCUAAUGUAAUUAUUUACAGUUGUUCAUGGACCUUUAAAUUAAGUAAAUUUAAAUAAAAUAAUCGAUGUUCUGGUUUUAUAAAAUAUAUGAUUGGAUGAUUAAAAGCAGCAACGUUAUUAAGUUUACUGAAAAAUGAUGAAAUAAACUAUUCACUGCAUGAAACUGUGGGUCAACCCUACCCCCACCAAACCCCUAUCCCUGCUUUUAUGUAUAACAUUCAUUUUCGCAAUCAGUUUUUUGUGUACAUCAACUGAUUAUUUGCUCUAUUUUGUAUACGUUCAACUAUAAGAUAAGAAUUUUUAUUAAUCUUAUCAAGAACCCAUAAAGGGCAUACAGCAAUAUUGUGCAUUAAUAAUAUGAUUGGAAAAAGAACUAAACAGAAACCUAAUGACGUUACGCACGGUAUUCGGUCUAUAUUUCAUUUGACCAUUUUAUUGAUGCAAAAAUAGGACAAAAACAAAUCAAUUCUGCGUAUUAUUAAAUAAUUACUUGGGUUGAUUCAUCAUUUUAAUCGAAAUUUAAUAAAACGAGAUUUUAAUAAAUUUAAUGUUAUAUAUUAUUACAUAAUAAAGCCAUGAUUCCGUGUUUAUAAUGCCAUUUUUGCCGUGUAAGACGUAACAACAAUAACUAACCAUCAAUAUAAAAAAGAAAAAACAAAAACUACAGAAUGGAUUUCGAUGUUGUGCAGGUGGGAUACAAUAGGAUCAUAUUCAUGAUGUGAAACGGGUUCGAUAAAUAGCAUGUCAGUUCGCAAUCUAGUGGCCAUUUCGUUAUAGAUCAAGCAAAAAGGGAAUAUAGUAGCUGUGGCUGCCAUUGACCCGAACGAGGAUUAUUUUUCAUUAUAAUCUUCUCGAAAGACACAUAUUUGGGAUUUUGGUAGUACGGAUAGAAAGAUCCUAACAUGAUUCGGUAAUUGUAGUUCGAAAACUACAAUUGAAGGCGGGUUGAUAACAUUUAUACUCUUAAAGCACUAAACAGCUGUGGAACUGGCUUACCUUAGAUACUUGUGAUGACGGAAUACUGAGCAUCAUCGAGAUAUGCAAUUUGCAACAAUUGACAUGCUUGUGCAGUGACAAAUAUUUGAAAUAUAAACUUUCAAUAAGUUAAGAUUAU